rnacentral:tRNA from 1 species
GCCUGGGCAGCUCAGCUAGUAAAGCAUCAGACUUUUAAUCCAAGGGUCCAGGGUUCAAGUCCCUAUCCAGGUGCCA